rnacentral:rRNA from 1 species
CCUACGGGGGGCAGCAGUGGGGAAUAUUGGACAAUGGGCGAAAGCCUGAUCCAGCCAUGCCGCGUGUGUGAAGAAGGCCUUCGGGUUGUAAAGCACUUUCAGUGGGGAAGAAAGCCUUGGGGCUAAUACCCUCGAGGAAGGACAUCACCCACAGAAGAAGCACCGGCUAACUCCGUGCCAGCAGCCGCGGUAAUACGGAGGGUGCGAGCGUUAAUCGGAAUUACUGGGCGUAAAGCGCGCGUAGGCGGUCUGAUAAGCCGGUUGUGAAAGCCCCGGGCUCAACCUGGGAACGGCAUCCGGAACUGUCCGGCUAGAGUGCAGGAGAGGAAGGUAGAAUUCCCGGUGUAGCGGUGAAAUGCGUAGAGAUCGGGAGGAAUACCAGUGGCGAAGGCGGCCUUCUGGACUGACACUGACGCUGAGGUGCGAAAGCGUGGGUAGCAAACAGGAUUAGAUACCCCAGUAGUC